rnacentral:rRNA from 1 species
UACGUAGGGUGCGAGCGUUGUCCGGAAUUAUUGGGCGUAAAGGGCUCGUAGGCGGUUUGUCGCGUCGGGAGUGAAAACACCGGGCUUAACUCGGUGCUUGCUUUCGAUACGGGCAGACUAGAGGCAUGCAGGGGAGAACGGAAUUCCUGGUGUAGCGGUGAAAUGCGCAGAUAUCAGGAGGAACACCGGUGGCGAAGGCGGCUCUCUGGGCCGACCCUGACGCUGAGGCGCGAAAGCGUGGGGAGCGAACGGG